GACGAACGCUGGCGGCGUGCUUAACACAUGCAAGUCGAACGGAAAGGCGCUGCUUUUGUGGCGUUGUCGAGUGGCGAACGGGGGAGUAACACGUGAGUAACCUGCCCUUGACUUUGGGGUAUCAUCAGGAAACUGGGGCUAAUACCGGAUAGGAGCUCCUGCUGCGUGUUGGUGGUUGGAAAGUGUCGGCGGUGGGGGAUGGUCUCGCGGGUUACGAGCUGGAUGGUGAGGUAGUUGCGUACCAAGGCUUUGACGGAUAGCCGGCAUGAGAGGGUUGACGGGCACAAGGGGACUGAGAUAGGGACCAGACGCGUACGGGAGGCAGUAGUGGGGAGUAUUGCACAAUGGGCGGAAGUCAGAGGUGGCAGCGCCGCGUGCGGGAUGACGGGCUACGGGUUGUAAACCGAUUUCGCAUGUGACGAAGCGUUAGUGACGGUAAUGGGUAAAAAAGCAACGGCUAACUACGUG
rnacentral:rRNA from 1 species